CAGCACCUCAAGUGGUCAGGACGAUUAUUGGGCCUAAAGCAUCCGUAGCCGGCUCUGUAAGUUUUCGGUUAAAUCUGUACGCUCAACGUACAGGCUGCCGGGAAUACUGCAGAGCUAGGGAGUGGGAGAGGUAGACGGUACUCGGUAGGAAGGGGUAAAAUCCUUUGAUCCAUUGAUGACCACCUGUGGCGAAGGCGGUCUACCAGAACACGUCCGACGGUGAGGGAUGAAAGCUGGGGGAGCAAACCGGAUUAGAGACCCGAGUAGUCC
rnacentral:rRNA from 1 species